UACAGAGGUCUCAAGCGUUGUUCGGAUUCAUUGGGCGUAAAGGGUGCGUAGGCGGCGCGGUAAGUCGGGUGUGAAAUCUUGGAGCUUAACUCCGAAACUGCAUUCGAUACUGCCGUGCUUGAGGACUGGAGAGGAGAUUGGAAUUCACGGUGUAGCAGUGAAAUGCGUAGAUAAUCGUGAGGAAGACCAGUGGCGAAGGCGGAUCUCUGGACAGUUCCUGACGCUGAGGCGCGAAGGCCAGGGGAGCAAACGGG
rnacentral:rRNA from 1 species